rnacentral:rRNA from 1 species
UACGUAGGGCGCAAGCGUUAUCCGGAAUUAUUGGGCGUAAAGAGCUCGUAGGCGGUUUGUCGCGUCUGCCGUGAAAGUCCGGGGCUCAACUCCGGAUCUGCGGUGGGUACGGGCAGACUAGAGUGAUGUAGGGGAGACUGGAAUUCCUGGUGUAGCGGUGAAAUGCGCAGAUAUCAGGAGGAACACCGGUGGCGAAAGCGGGUCUCUGGGCAAUAACUGACGCUGAGGAACGAAAGCGUGGGGAGCGAACAGG